UACGUAGGUGGCGAGCGUUGUCCGGAUUUACUGGGCGUAAAGAGCGCGCAGGCGGUCGAUCAAGUCGCGUGUGAAAGCCCCCGGCUCAACUGGGGAGGUCACGCGAUACUGUUCGACUUGAAGGCAGGAGAGGGAAGUGGAAUUCCCGGUGUAGUGGUGAAAUGCGUAGAUAUCGGGAGGAACACCAGUGGCGAAGGCGACUUCCUGGCCUGUUCUUGACGCUGAGGCGCGAAAGCUAGGGUAGCAAACGGGAUUAAGAUGACC
rnacentral:rRNA from 1 species